UAGGGAAUCUUCCGCAAUGGGCGAAAGCCUGACGGAGCAACGCCGCGUGAGUGAUGAAGGUCUUCGGAUCGUAAAACUCUGUUAUUAGGGAAGAACAAAUGUGUAAGUAACUAUGCAUGUCUUGACAGUACCUAAUCAGAAAGCCACGGCUAACUACGUGCCAGCAGCCGCGGUAAUACGUAGGUGGCAAGCGUUAUCCGGAAUUAUUGGGCGUAAAGCGCGCGUAGGCGGUUUUUUAAGUCUGAUGUGAAAGCCCACGGCUCAACCGUGGAGGGUCAUUGGAAACUGGAAAACUUGAGUGCAGAAGAGGAAAGUGGAAUUCCAUGUGUAGCGGUGAAAUGCGCAGAGAUAUGGAGGAACACCAGUGGCGAAGGCGACUUUCUGGUCUGUAACUGACGCUGAUGUGCGAAAGCGUGGGGAUCAAACAGG
rnacentral:rRNA from 1 species